GAGUGCGGUGGUGCAAUCUCGGCUCACUGGAAGCUCCGCCUCCCGGGUUCACGCCAUUCUCCUGCCUCAGCCUCCUGAGUAGCUGGGACUACAGGCGCCCGCCACCGCACCCGGCUAAUUUUUUGUAUUUUUAGUAGAGAUGGGGUUUCACCGUGUUAGCCAGGAUGGUCUCAAUCUCCUGACCUCGUGAUUCGCCCACCUCGGCCUCCCAAAGUGCUGGGAUUACAGGCGUGAGCCACCGCGCCCAGCCGACAAAUGCUUUUAUGAUGUAAGAAUAUGAGAGAGCCAAAAAACAUUCAAAAACAACUUAACCUUUUUGGACUUAAUACCUUCACUAAUUGGUCAGAGACACCAACCUGAGAGCCUCUGGCUGUAGUGUGGCUCAGACAUGGGUAGCAUUCUGAAGUCAAUGUUGGGAACUUAUAAGGAGAUCUUUCCAUAUCAGGAUACAAACAGCUUCUUUAUUCUUCUGUACUGAUGGCUGUGUGCUAUCCCAUUGGAUGAAUGUACCAUAGUUCUGUUAACUAGCCCUCUACUGAUGGACUUUUCAGUAAUUUCCAGACUUUUAUAAUUACAAGCAAUUCUGCAAUGAAUAA